GGGUGAUUAGCUCAAAUGGCUUAGAGCAUCGGAAUUACAAUCCGAGGGUCCCUGGUUCAAAUCCAGGAUCACCCA
rnacentral:tRNA from 1 species